AACGAACGCUGGCGGCAGGCCUAACACAUGCAAGUCGAGCGAAGCCUUCGGGCUUAGCGGCGGACGGGUGAGUAACGCGUGGGAACGUGCCCUUUGCUACGGAAUAGCCCCGGGAAACUGGGAGUAAUACCGUAUGUGCCCUUCGGGGGAAAGAUUUAUCGGCAAAGGAUCGGCCCGCGUUGGAUUAGGUAGUUGGUGGGGUAAUGGCCUACCAAGCCGACGAUCCAUAGCUGGUUUGAGAGGAUGAUCAGCCACACUGGGACUGAGACACGGCCCAGACUCCUACGGGAGGCAGCAGUGGGGAAUCUUAGACAAUGGGCGCAAGCCUGAUCUAGCCAUGCCGCGUGAUCGAUGAAGGCCUUAGGGUUGUAAAGAUCUUUCAGGUGGGAAGAUAAUGACUGUACCACCAGAAGAAGCCCCGGCUAACUCCGUGCCAGCAGCCGCCGUAACAC
rnacentral:rRNA from 1 species